rnacentral:rRNA from 1 species
CGCUGGCGGCGUGCCUAAUACAUGCAAGUCGAGCGAACGGACGAGAAGCUUGCUUCUCUGAUGUUAGCGGCGGACGGGUGAGUAACACGUGGAUAACCUACCUAUAAGACUGGGAUAACUUCGGGAAACCGGAGCUAAUACCGGAUAAUAUUUUGAACCGCAUGGUUCAAAAGUGAAAGACGGUCUUGCUGUCACUUAUAGAUGGAUCCGCGCUGCAUUAGCUAGUUGGUAAGGUAACGGCUUACCAAGGCAACGAUGCAUAGCCGACCUGAGAGGGUGAUCGGCCACACUGGAACUGAGACACGGUCCAGACUCCUACGGGAGGCAGCAGUAGGGAAUCUUCCGCAAUGGGCGAAAGCCUGACGGAGNCACGCCGCGUGAGUGAUGAAGGUCUUCGGAUCGUAAAACUCUGUUAUUAGGGAAGAACAUAUGUGUAAGUAACUGUGCACAUCUUGACGGUACCCUAUCAGAAAGCCACGCUAACUACGUGCCAGCAGCCGCGGUAAUACGUAGGUGGCAAGCGUUAUCCCGAAAUAUUGGGCGUAAAGCGCGCGUAGGCGGUUUUUUAGUCUGAUGUGAAAGCCCACGGCUCAACCGUGGAGGGUCAUUGGAAACUGGAAAACUUGAGUGCAGAAGAGGAAAGUGGAAUUCCAUGUGUAGCGGUGAAAUGCGCAGAGAUAUGGAGGAACACCAGUGGCGAAGGCGACUUUCUGGUCUGUAACUGACGCUGAUGUGCGAAAGCGUGGGGAUCAAACAGGAUUAGAUACCCUGGUAGUCCACGCCGUAAACGAUGAGUGCUAAGUGUUAGGGGGUUUCCGCCCCUUAGUGCUGCAGCUAACGCAUUAAGCACUCCGCCUGGGGAGUACGACCGCAAGGUUGAAACUCAAAGGAAUUGACGGGGACCCGCACAAGCGGUGGAGCAUGUGGUUUAAUUCGAAGCAACGCGAAGAACCUUACCAAAUCUUGACAUCCUUUGACAACUCUAGAGAUAGAGCCUUCCCCUUCGGGGGACAAAGUGACAGGUGGUGCAUGGUUGUCGUCAGCUCGUGUCGUGAGAUGUUGGGUUAAGUCCCGCAACGAGCGCAACCCUUAAGCUUAGUUGCCAUCAUUAAGUUGGGCACUCUAAGUUGACUGCCGGUGACAAACCGGAGGAAGGUGGGGAUGACGUCAAAUCAUCAUGCCCCUUAUGAUUUGGGCUACACACGUGCUACAAUGGACAAUACAAAGGGCAGCGAAACCGCGAGGUCAAGCAAAUCCCAUAAAGUUGUUCUCAGUUCGGAUUGUAGUCUGCAACUCGACUACAUGAAGCUGGAAUCGCUAGUAAUCGUAGAUCAGCAUGCUACGGUGAAUACGUUCCCGGGUCU